UCAUCCCUCUCACCUUAAGCGUCUCUCUUCUUCAUCGAUUUCUUCUCUGUCCUCCAUCUCUGCCGUCAUCUAUUCCUAAACCCUAAAAGAGAGAGCCAUAUACGUCCUCCUCCUUGUCUAGAAGAGUCAUCGGAGUCCCUUCGUUAACCUUCGUCGUCGUCGUCGUUGUCCUCUUCCUCAAUGGAGUCCUCUUUCUCGUCGUCGUCGUCCUCCAGGGAUAGAUCAGUAGCCGGUCACUCUGUAACUGUUCGUAAGACAAUUUAUGUGUCUUCUUCUCAAAUCAGCGGCGCCACCACUUUUGAAGUCUCCGGAACGCCAGCAGAUUGUGUGUCUUUAGCAUUAUUAGGGGCAUUGUUCGUGUGGUCAAAGCCUGCUUUGGUCGUCAAUGGAAUAAACAGAGGAUCAAGCUCUGUUUAUAAAGGCUUGCUCAGUUAUUUCAAAAGGGUCUUGUUUAUAAAAGCUUCAAGGUCAUGCUGUACAGUACUGGCUGCAAGACACCGUUCUCCAAUUUUGAGGCCAGUCAAGAAUAUAGGGUUUCACCCUUUUACUCCAUGAAUGGUUAAGUUCCCUGUAUCAUGAGAACAGGUAUCCUGGCCAUGGUGCAGUGUUCCUUUCCAUUAUGAAAAGUGGAACUCUUGAUGUCCUAUUAUCACAGGGUAAGGAGUAUAUCCUUGUGGUUGACUCAGAUAACGUGGCUGCUACAAUUGACCCAAAAAUUUUGGAUCAUUUGAUUGAAAACAAGAUUGAAUACUGUAUAGAGGUAAACAAAAUGAGAGCUUAGGAUGUUCUCCUCUUUCUCUCUUUGUGUGUCUGUACAUAUACAUAUUAGAACUUCAGGAAGCGGGGUCCUGCAAAACUGGAUUCCACUCCUGAAGCUGUCUCUGUGUGUUGCUAUUGUUGAAUCUUGUUAAUGUGAUGGGAUCGUGUAUUUUCAUUUCCACGGUUAAGUGGCCAGUCAAA